GACGAACGCUGGCGGCGUGCCUAAUACAUGCAAGUGGGACGCAAGAGAACACACUGUGCUUGCACACCGUGUUUUCUUGAGUCGCGAACGGGUGAGUAACGCGUAGGUAACCUGCCUAUUAGCGGGGGAUAACUAUUGGAAACGAUAGCUAAUACCGCAUAAUAUUAAUUAUUGCAUGAUAAUUGAUUGAAAGAUGCAAGCGCAUCACUAGUAGAUGGACCUGCGUUGUAUUAGCUAGUUGGUAAGGUAAGAGCUUACCAAGGCGACGAUACAUAGCCGACCUGAGAGGGUGAUGGGCCACACUGGGACUGAGACACGGCCCAGACUCCUACGGGAGGCAGCAGUAGGGAAUCUUCGGCAAUGGACGAAAGUCUGACCGAGCAACGCCGCGUGAGUGAAGAAGGUUUUCGGAUCGUAAAGCUCUGUUGUAAGUCAAGAACGUGUGUGAGAGUGGAAAGUUCACACAGUGACGGAGCUACCAGAAAG
rnacentral:rRNA from 1 species